rnacentral:rRNA from 1 species
UACAGAGGGUGCAAGCGUUUGUUCGGAAUUAUUGGGCGUAAAGGGCGCGUAGGCGGUGCGGUAAGUCUGUAGUGAAAUCUCUGGGCUCAACUCAGAGUCUGCUAUAGAAACUGCCGUGCUUGAGUGUGGGAGAGGUGAGUGGAAUUCCCCGGUGUAGCGGUGAAAAUGCGUAGAUAUCGGGGAGGAACACCUGUGGCGAAAAGCGGCUCACUGGACCAUAACUGACGCUGAUGCACGAAAAGCUAGGGGGGAGCAAAACAGGG